rnacentral:rRNA from 1 species
AUUGAACGCUGGCGGCAGGCUUACCACAUGCACGUCGAGCGAGCGGCGGACGGGUGAGUAAUGUCUGGUAAACUGCCUGAUGGAGGGGUAUAACUACUGGAAACGGUAGCUAAUACCGCAUACCAUCAGAUGUUCCCAGAUGGGAUUAGCUAGUAGGUGGGGUACUGGCUCACCUAGCCGACGAUCCCUCGCUGGUCUGAGAGGAUGACCAGCCACACUGGAAUUGAGACACGGUCCAGACUCCUACGGGAGGAAGCAGUGGGGAAUAUUGCACAAUGGGCGCAAGCCUGAUGCAGCCAUGCCGCGUGUGGGAAGAAGGCCUUCGGGUUGUAAAGCACUUUCAGCGAGGAGGCGUUACUCGCAGAAGAAGCACCGGCUAACUCCGUGCCAGCAGCCGCGGUAAUUC